UUACGCAGGAGAAAAACAACUUCACCACUGACAGUAGGAAUAAGCCCGCACAAAAGCAGGUUGAGCACUGGAAGUUUAAAUAGACCAUUGAUGAACCAAAAUAAGCAACAGGUGAAAACAAUGAAAGACAAUGAAAAAAGGGAUCGCGGCAGCUAGUAGACCGGUGACGGCGACCGCCGAGUGCCGCCCGAACAGGGAGAGGAGCGACCUUCGGUGGAAGUCGUGACAAGAUCAUGUGAUCCAAACUCUGUAUUUAAAGCCCCUGGCACCCCAGAAGAAGUGAAUGCAUUCCGGAGGCAUCCCGGAUCCUUUUGUGCAAAGCAUUUAAAAGCUGCGUUUGUUGAAAGCACAUGGUUAAUGGAGUUUGUAAGAACCGUGAAAGUAGUAUGGGCAUCUGCCUGCUGGACUGCACUGUAUUCCUGUGCCCCUUUAUGUUUGGUUCAUGUUGGUUUGUUCAUUGUGAUUUUAUAUAGAAUCGUUUUUUAAAUUAAAAUAAAUAGAAUGGAAAGAAACUAAU